CACAAGAGAAAUUGGCCCGCAUUAGAGACGAUCUGUUCCUUCGGAGUGAUACGUGCACUAGGAAAGGACUCCAAUCUUUAUUGGGGUCCCUUAACUUCACUAUACGGAUCAUUCCACAGGGAUCAUUCAUCUCAAGGCUGCUGUGUCUCCUACACGGGGUACCCGACACCGCUACUAUUACCUUAAACGCACCUGCCAGGGCAGACUUGAUCAUGUAGAGGAAUUUCACGUUGGAGUGGAAUGGAGUCUCCCUGUUCAUUCCCCCACUAUCCGACCAAUCUCCAAUAAUUUACACCGACGCAGCAGCACAUUUUUGCACCUUAGAAUCUCUAUGGUCCAUAUUAAUUGGACUGAUGUAAUUACAC